rnacentral:sRNA from 1 species
AGCCUAAACCAGGAGCAAUCCUGGCAUGGCCACAUAAAUCCUACGCGACAGAAGCGGCCUCAUAGGUCGGCUCUACUCGCGUAGGUCAGGUGUCCCGAAAGGGCCCUGGGUAAUGCCCGAAAGGGUGUUAUC